rfam:Pseudoxanthomonas spadix BD-a59, complete genome.
CGCGUUUUUUGCCCAGGCGGAGCUCGACCGCCGACUCAAGUCCUAAGGGACUUCAUCGACGAACAUCGACGCACCUUCGGGGUCGAGCCGAUCUGCAAGGUCCUGCAGGUCGCCCCG